ACGUACGACCAUACCCAGUGGAAAGCACGGCAUCCCGUCCGCUCUGCCCUUGUUAAGCCACUGAGGGCCCGGUCAGUAGUUGGGUCGGUGACGACCAGCGAAUCCCAGGUGUUGUACGUC
rnacentral:rRNA from 1 species